rnacentral:lncRNA from 10 species
GGAGUUGGCAGCCAGUGGUCCUGGGGACCGCGAGAAACACUCUGUCUUCCUGCUUUGAGGACAGCUGAAGUCUUGCCACUUCUUCUGGAUGCUCUGACCAUCAGUAAGAGACACGGUCUGACUUUGUUACCCCGGCUGGAGUGCAGUGGUGCAAUCAUGGCUCACUGCAGCCUUAACCUCCUGGGCUCAAGUGAUCCUCUCGCCAAGGCUAGGAUAAGUAGCUAGGACUACAGAUGCGCCCCAUCACGCCCAGCUAAUUUUACAACUUCUGUAGAGAUGGAGUGUUGCUGGGUUGCCCAGGCUGGUCUUGAAUUCCUGGGCUCAAGCGAUCCUCCUGUGUCCGGAAUUGGUGGGUUCUUGGUCUCACUGACUUCAAGAAUGAAGCCGCGGACCCUCGCGGUGAGUGUUACAGUUCUUAAAGACAGCGUGUCCAGAGUUUGUUCCUUCUGAUGUUCAGAUGUGUUCAGAGUUUCUUCCUUCUGGUGGGUUCGUGGUCUCGCUGGCUUAGGGGUGAAGCUGCAGACCUUCGCGGUGAGUGUUACAGUUCUUAGGGCGGCGCGUCUGGAGUUGUCUGUUCCUCCCGGUGGGCUCGUAGUCUCGCUGGCUUCAGGAGUGAAGCUGCAGACCUUCGCGGUGAGUGUUACAGCUCAUAAAGGCAGCGUGGACCUACAGAGUGAGCAGUAGCAAGAUUUAUUGCAAAGAGCAAAAGAACAAAGCUUCCACAGCGUGGAAAGGGAUCCCAGC